GUGCCAGCCGCCGCGGUAAUACGAAGGGGGCUAGCGUUGUUCGGAAUUACUGGGCGUAAAGCGUGCGCAGGCGGUGAUGUAAGACAGAGGUGAAAUCCCCGGGCUCAACCUGGGAACUGCCUUUGUGACUGCAUCGCUGGAGUGCGGCAGAGGGGGAUGGAAUUCCGCGUGUAGCAGUGAAAUGCGUAGAUAUGCGGAGGAACACCGAUGGCGAAGGCAAUCCCCUGGGCCUGCACUGACGCUCAUGCACGAAAGCGUGGGGAGCAAACAGGAUUAGAUACCCCAGUAGUCCGGCUGACUGACU
rnacentral:rRNA from 1 species